GAGGGAGAGGGAGAGGGAGAGGGAGAACUUGGAAGCAGGUAGGAGCCAGGAGAGCCUGGCUGCUGCCUUCUUUUCCAGGCAAGGACGAAGGCCACAUACCCAUCCACAGAGACUUAGGUGUCACCAGAAUCCCUGGGUUUUACUGGCUCUUGUUAAGAGUCACAGAAGUCUCAGAAUCCAGCGAAACCCCAGCCUGGAGCUGGAACAGACAGACAUGUGUACAGACCUGUGGGGCAGAAGGAAGCUGCUGAAGGUUGCCCGAGGACUUAGCAUGGUGUUGGUACCUGCUCCAUCCAUCGAUGCUCUCUCUGUGGAUGUGGUAUUCUCAGAGCCAGGAUGGACCAAGACAACACAGAACCAAGACCUCUCUCUGCUUCGUCUUGUCUUCAGCACCCCUGGGAGAGUCACAUGCCACUUCCCUAUCUCAAAUUUAGUCCACCCCUCCCCCCUCCUUUGAACCCCACUGAACAUCACCUUGUUCUUUUACCCCAGGCAGAGCUACAGUAUUUGAAGUUUACAGAUUUCCUAGAAAUGGCAAUGAAAGCUGUCAUAUUCAAGGCCAACCAUCCUGUUCCAUUCGACAGCAUCUCCAUUUUCCUCCUUGCCUCCAGUCACCUACCAAGGCCCAUCUAGGAAGGUUGAAACAUUGCUGCAGUGGACCAUAUAUUAGGUUCCUAUUGGACUCUGCAAGAUUCUUCACAGUUCUGAAUUAUUACUGACUCUUCCAUCUCAACAGGUCCACCCACUUGAGGAAGAGACCAACAAUGUGCUUUCCAGGAUGAAGCGAGCAUGAGAGGAGGCGCUUGGAAAAUCUGACUUAACUAAGAAGGGAUAGGGAAUCCUUGAUAGAAGACCUGCAAGUAUCAAAGACCCAGAUCUAGACCCAGCUGCUCGCAUCCGGGCCUCUGUAGAUUCAGGACGGCGGACAGAACCUCGCGGGCCUGGGUCUCCUUUCCUCUCGCAACAGCACCGCAGAGAGCGCCCUUCAGCACCGCGGACAGCAAUCCUGCUGGGGUCAGAGCUUCCACCCAGCCUCUGCCUGGAAAUGGCUCUUUGGGGCAGUUGGGAUGCAGGCCCGCGAGCGGCUGAAUAGAUCAAUUAUUUUUCAGAACAUGAUUUUGAUCCCGAUGUUACUUCUCAGGAUCACUGAGUGGAAAGGGCUCGCGGAGAAAAUGGCAUUUUUUAUCACCCUGGCAAAAUGCUCCCGCACUGAUGAGAUGAGGCGCCCGGCGAGUGCGCGCGCGCACUUGUGAUACAUAACUAACCAGAAGCAUAAUCUUCUAAAUUGAAAGCCAUAAUGUUUGCUGUUGGAGCUAAAUAUUAACAGGGCGUUGUCUCCCCCAACGACCCUCGGGAGACAGCUGGCUUAGCGGGAGGCUGCCGUCAUAUUCAAGCAACUUGAUUAAAUUCCUUUCUGCCAUCAGAAUUAAGAAAUGAAUAGUUUUAUGAGAGUCAUGCCACAGAGGACAGGAAAAUGAAAUGUUCAGGAAAGAGAGCAGGAGGGUUGCCUGCUCUGUGUUCCUGUAGGGAGUGCUGUCAAUCUACCUAGAAGGGGUGGGCUCAGUAUUGUGUAUGAUAGGCAGUCUUGACUCCUCUCUGGUCAUAAAACACACUGUGGAGCCUCCUUAGGAGAUCUCUCAGUUGUUCAUGGGAGAGGCAGCAAAUUGUGUGGCUGACUUCAUGAUCUCCGGAUCUAGAACCACUGUAUUCAAAUCCCAUUGUUAUUCCCAAGUUGCUGUGUGAUCUUAGGCAAAUUAUCUAACCUUUCUGUGGCAAAGCUUUUCUAGUUGUAAUAAAAUGAAUUUAUCUCAGUACUUAA